UGGGGAAUAUUGCACAAUGGGCGAAAGCCUGAUGCAGCAACGCCGCGUGAGUGAUGAAGGUCUUCGGAUUGUAAAGCUCUGUCUUUUGGGACGACAAUGACGGUACCAAAGGAGGAAGCCACGGCUAACUACGUGCCAGCAGCCGCGGUAAUACGUAGGUGGCGAGCGUUGUCCGGAUUUACUGGGCGUAAAGGGUGCGUAGGCGGAUGUUUAAGUGAGAUGUGAAAUACCCGGGCUUAACUUGGGUGCUGCAUUUCAAACUGGAUAUCUAGAGUGCAGGAGAGGAGAAUGGAAUUCCUAGUGUAGCGGUGAAAUGCGUAGAGAUUAGGAAGAACACCAGUGGCGAAGGCGAUUCUCUGGACUGUAACUGACGCUGAGGCACGAAAGCGUGGGUAGCAAACAGGAUUAGAUACCCUGGUAGUCCACGCCGUAAACGAUGAGUACUAGGUGUAGGAGGUAUCGACCCCUUCUGUGCCGCAGUAAACACAUUAAGUACUCCGCCUGGGAAGUACGAUCGCAAGAUUAAAAC
rnacentral:rRNA from 1 species